rnacentral:rRNA from 1 species
UGGUGGAGUGAUUUGUCUGGUUAAUUCCGAUAACGAACGAGACUCUAGCCUGCUAAAUAGCUUGCAAGUACCAAUUGCUUGUUGAGCUUCUUAGAGGGAUUCGCUUUCGUUUAGAGGCACGAAAUUGAGCAAUAACA